CAAUCAGAGGCACGGGCUUUGGGAAGCUGGUGGUGCUUUGGCUAAGACCUGUGGCUUCCCUGUGGCACCAGUGGAGGAAGAUGCAGCUAGUAUGACACCAUGGCCAAGGUCCACUGGAAUGUCAUCAUCUCUGCAAGUUAGAAAACCAAGGCCAGGAAGUUAAAUGGAAAAGUCUGGAUUUGAAUCAGGAUCCAACCAGUCUCCUUCUCCAGCUCCUCCGGGAAACUGCAAAAUGAUCAAGCAAGUGAGUCUGUGUGGUGUGUUGAGAUUCUUCCUUUGGUGAAAUGGCUUAGAGGAUGGAGAUUCCUGCCACCACGACUAAAAAUUUGGUAACUUCCAGACCGGUGUGGUCAAAGGAGAGAGCUUACUCCUGCAAGUUGUCCUUUGGCAAAAAAUCCCAAAGUCCUAUAAGUGAGUCACUGAUUAUUGACCGAACUCCAGCCAGGCUGCUCUCAGUCCUGCUCUUGACUAGGCUCCAGCCGUGGCCCACAAACCCUUGAACAAACACACAUUUUCUCACAGCUCAAGGCUGCAUUGCGAGAGCCACCCUACCUUUUUCAAAACACCUGGCUGAGAAAGCUCCAAGUUUCCACACGAGGUCACUGUUUGUUCCAGCCAUCGCCUGAAGACAGAGCCCCUGUCCCCCACUGUCUCAGUCAGGGUUUCCAUUCCCUCACAAACAUCACGACCAAGAAGCAAGUUGGGGAGGAAAAGGUUUAUUCAGUUCACACUUCCACAUUGCUGUUCAUCACCAAAGGAAGUCAGGGCUGGAACUGAAGCAGGUCAGGAAGCAGGAGCUGAUGCAGAGGCCAUGGAGGGAUGUUACUUACUGGCUUGCUUCCCCUGGCUUGCUCAGCUUGCUUUCUUAUAGAACCCAAGACCACCAGCCCAGGGACAGCACCACCCACAAUGGGCUGGGUCCUCCCCCUUGAUCACUAGUUGAGAAAAUGCCUUACAGCUGGGUCUCAUGGAGGCAUUUCCUCAACUGAGGGUCCUUCUCUGUGAUAACUCCAGCUUGUGUCAAGUUGACACAUAAAACAAUCAGUAUACCCACCCAGUCUCUGGCAGAGGGUAGGAGCCUCACUUCAUAAGUAUAGUGCCAAAUAGCAAAUUGGACGACAGGAUUCACGUGGACCGAAGCCCUUUCUGCUUCUUGUGAUUGUCCGGACUCCUGCUCAGCUUAAGUUGUCACUGCUUAGUCUCUUCUACACCAUGACCUCUGCCCACAUCCUGUGGAGCUCAGCUUUCUCUGCCCUAAGUGGCUAUGGAAUACGGAUGGUCUGGUGUCCAGCUGUGUCUGCCUUUGUCACACACAUCAAAUGGCCCUGUCAAACAUGUGACCCUUGAAAAAUGGAUCCUUGUUUUCCAAGCAAGGUCUUCACGCACGCAUUCACUGUGGUUCAUGAUUUGCAGGGACAAGCACAUCGACAUGCUUGGAGACUAAGAGCACAGAGGAGCAGAAUUCUGGUGUGGUACAGGUGCUAAUUUUUUUUUUUCGGAGCUGGGGACUGAACCCAGGGCCUUGCGCUUGCUAGGCAAGCGCUCUACCACUGAGCUAAAUCCCCAACCCCACAGGUGCUAAUUUUAAGAGACUUUUCUUUUCAAAAGACUGUCCGUGGGCUGGGGAGAUAGAUCAGUUCAUAGAGUACUUGCCCAGCAAGCUGGGUUCCAUCCCAAGAACCACAAAAACUGGGUGUGGUGGCACAUGCCUAGAAUUCCAGAAGUCUCUAGAAUAUCCACCCAUGAAGAUGUGAAUCAUAUUCUUUUUAAAGCCUUCCUCCUUCCACCUGGUGUAAUUAUUCUGGCUCGGCGCAUGCGCCACGGCCCACUGUUCUAUUUUAUUAUCAUUUAUGUGUCUUCAUAUACGAAAAGAUAAAACUUGAAAUUGUUCCAGAUUUUUUCCUCCUAUUUUGUCAUGUGUAUGUGACUGCUCCUUCACACAGGGGGGUAUACUAAAAUCACCACAGGAAAAGAAGAAAGAUCAACUACAAAUGAAUGAACUAUGAUACAGUGUUCUUUCCAAAAUGUUUGUAUUUUGCAACUUUAGUUACAAGGACAUCUGCUUCAGGCUGUCUUAGGUGUGUGUGUGUGUGUGUGUGUGUGUGUGUGUGUGUGUGUGUGUAUGUAUCUGUGUGUCUCCAUGUGCAUGUGUGUGUGUGUGUGUGUGCAUGUGAUACUCCAGCAGUAUUGCAUGUAUGGUUAUAACAGUUCAUUUAUGCUAUGCACUUACUAGAGGACUGGGCCAUUUCUAGUUUCAACCAUUGCACACAAAGCUGCUGUAAACACCCACAAUGUCUUGUUAUAAAUGCAGGUUUUCAUUUUUCUUAGAAAUUAUAGUUGAAAGUGGAGUUGACCUCUCUCACUCUUCUUCCUCACUCUCACUCUUCCUUCCGCUCUUCCUCUCUCUCUCUCUCUCUCUCUCUCUCUCUCUCUCUCUCUUCCUCUCUUCCUCUCCUGGCUUGACACGAUAAAAAAAAAAAAAAAGAAAGUGGAGUUGAAGAGCCAUUUCAUAACUCUGUAUUUAAUUGUGCUCCCAAUUGCAGUAUUUCUUCUGCCUACAGCCUUGCAUGAGGGUUUCCACUCCUCCAUGUAGCCGUCAACACUGGCUUUCUUUUUUUCUACUUUCUUUUUCUUCUUCUUUCAUUGUUUGUUUGAGACAGGGUUUCUCUAUGUAGCCCCGGCUGUCCUGGAACUCACUAUGUAGCCCAGGCUGGCCUCAGACUCAAAGAUCUGCCUGCUUCUGCCUCCUGAGUGCUGGGAUUAAAGGUGUGUACCACCACCACUGGCCCAGCACUGGCUUUCUGUUGACAGCCACCCCAGCAGGUUGGAACUGGAUUUCACUGAGGUUUUGCUCUGAAUUUCCUCUGAGAGGUGAUGCUGCUAAGGUCAGUAGCUGUUUACACGUCUUUUCCUUAAACAUAAGUGCCGUUUUCUUAUUAAGAUAUAUUUUAUGUAUAGUAAUUGCUUACACACUGAAUAACACUACAAUAACAUGAUUUUAGCAGUUUUAACAGAAGAAGAAGGGAGAACUGGGGUUAUAAAAACCCCUCCCCCCAAAAAAUAAUACGUUAUUUUUUCCUACAUUAUUUUAACUGUGUACGUUUUGCAUCAUGUAUGUCUGUGUACCAUGUGCAUGCAGUACCCAUGGAGGCCAGAAGGGGGCGGUGGAUCCUCUUGGAACUGGAGGCACAGACAGUUGUUGGCGGCCAUAUGGGUGCUGGGUAUGGAACGCCGCUCCUCUGGAAGGGCAGAAAGUUACUUUUUCUAAGGGGGUCAAUGCAGAAACAUAUUCAGUGCCUGGUCAUGCAUAAUUGCUAUUGCACCGAUGGCCAAUAGAAUUUAAAAAGAACCAUUAUGAACUCAACUUCCUGGAUACUAAAGAAGCACACACAUCUUUUGUAGAGUAAUGUCCAUUCAAGUCUUUUGCACUUGCUGUGUUCAUUUUGUAAAACAAUUACUUUAUUUUAUGUGUAUGUGUAGAUUAAAUCCUCUAGAACUGGAGUUAGAGAGUCGUGAUCUUCCUGAUGUGGGUGAUGGGAACCAAACCCUGGAUACCCUGCAAGAAUGGCAGGUAUUCUCAACCACUGAGCCAUCUCUCCAGCCCCACUAUUUCAUUUGCUUGUUUGUUUAUUGAGAUAGGGUCAGGGUGGCCUGGAAUUCACUAAGUACCCCAGCUCUCCUUAAACCCUACCCUCCUGCCUUAUUGUUACGAGUGCUGAGAUUACAUGUGUGCACCAUCACAACUGGAUCUCCUGCUCGUGUCUUUUAUAUUUUAAAUAUUAAUUUUAUCUUACUUUAUGUGUGUGUGACUGUCUUACCUGUAUGUAUGUGUCUAUGUGCAUCACAUGUGUGCAGUCAGAAGAGAGGGUCAGAUCCCCUGGAACUGGAGUUAUAGCUCUUGUGAGUCAUCAUGUGUGUCCUGGGAAUUGAACCUGUGUCCUUUGCUAGAGUGACAAUUGUUCUGAACCACCGAGCCAUCGCUCCACUCGCCAUCGCUCCACCCCCACCUUCCUGUUUCUGUAACAGUCUUGAAUGACAAAAUGAAGACUCGACUAGUGGGUUACAAUGAGGUCAGGGACUAGGGUGGGAGGGGAGAAGGGUGCUAAGUACAGUUUAAAAGAUUGACCUGAAAGAUAUGGUGGUGACAGGCCUGUUCAGCUUGGGUGUGGAGUAGGAUACAGGCUUCAUUGGUCAUUGUCAUAGAAACACAUGUACACAAAGAGUAGGAGAAAAACCAGGGGAACCUGAAUUACAUUAAUAGAUUGUACUGAUGUAACCGUCUUACCUAUGGCUAUGGCAUUGAACUGUAACUUUCUAAAAUGUUACCAAUGCAGGAAUUUGUCUUUUAGAAAAGUUAUGGGAUCUAUAAGUAAUAAGUUUUAUUACUUACCAGGGCAUGUGAAUAUGUAAUUAUUUCCAAAUAAGGUUAAGUUUUAAAAUGCAAUAAAAAAGAAACCCUUAUUAGCCUCA